AUUCCAGCUCCAAUAGCGUAUAUUUAAGUUGUUGCAGUUAAAAAGCUCGUAGUUGGAUCUUGGGUCGUAAGGGUCGGUCCGCCUACUCGGUGUGCACCUGCCCUUCCGUCCCUUUUGUCGGCGGCGUGCUCCUGGCCUUAAUUGGCUGGGUCGCGGUUCCGGCGCUGUUACUUUGAAAAAAUUAGAGUGCUCAAAGCAAGCUUAUGCUCUGAAUACAUUAGCAUGGAAUAACGUGAUAGGAGUCUGGUCCUAUUGUGUUGGCCUUCGGGACCGGAGUAAUGAUUAAUAGGGACUGUCGGGGGCAUUCGUAUUUCAUUGUCAGAGGUGAAAUUCUUGGAUUUAUGAAAGACGGACCACUGCGAAAGCAUUUGCCAAGGAUGUUUUCAUUA
rnacentral:rRNA from 1 species